GCCUCCUUGGCUUAGUUGGUUAGGGCGUAGGUCUCAUAUCUCACAUAUGCGUAAUCAUGUGAUUAUGUAAUCCUAAAAUCGCAAGUUCGAGUCUUGCAGGGGGCA
rnacentral:tRNA from 1 species